CCUGCGCAACGCGGGCCGCGGCCCGGCGGAGGCCGGCGCCCUCGGGUGGCGGGUCCCCCCCCUUCCCCGGGGCCGAGGGAAGGGAGCAGCUGGAAGACUUACUCCUCACCCACAGCGGAGAGCUGGGAAGCAGCUCCUCAGGCUGGAUGUCUGGGGUUCAGUGCCAAGGAACCAACCUGGAGACAAAAGAUCUUGGGUGUCACAGGCCUCUCGUUUACAGCCUUUCAGUUUUACCAUCGGUGAUGCUCUUUAAGAUUUUGACAAAGUAUAUAGCAUGACAUAGAUGCUCCUAGAUCAUCUUUAUACAACCCUUUACCGGUAUUUUAAAUUACACUCUCUGUUUUCCUUCAGUUUGCUGUGCUUUUCUGCAGAUUGCGUGUCUUAACUGAGGUUGGGACGUGAAAUUUAGUAGGAUACUGAUUAUUUUCAAGAGUGACACCGCUCUGUGAGGUUCUCGUGGCCAGCGGGUCUGGAUGAACUGCCAGCAUUGCUCUCCUUGGACUGGAGUCCCAGGACUGAAAGUUGUAAAGGGUUUAAACUCAACUGCUCUGAAGUGGAAAUAUGGUCAGGAAGUAUCUGAUCCCUUAGAAUAUAAAUGUUAAAGUAACCGGAGAUGAUAGGAAAACAAAAUUCUUCGUAGAUCAGGAGGGGUUUUUUUUUAAAUAUAUAAACAUUAGGCACAAUGCAGUAUUGCAUACGGCCCGAGAUGGCUUUCCUUCCUGGAGGUUCUUCCAGUCCAAUAACAUCCAGAACACUGAUUUCCACUAUCCCAGCCAUUUUUCAGUUGGGUGCCAAUUGCUUGGACAUCCCGGUCCCUCUCGCACCUGCCGUAAUUGCGGCAUUCUCGGCAACUGUCACUUGUGAGUGUCACCUCAGGCAGGACAGAAUGAAAAGGCUGGGAGUUUUGUGGUCUUAUAGAGGUGAAUGUGAAAACCAGACCAGUCUGCUGGCCUCUAAAGCUGUUCAGAGCCACGAUCCUGUUGAAAGUGGUGGAUUAUUGUCAAUUUUUCCAUAUUGUACCUAAAAAUGUUAUAUUCAAUCACUCAUAUUGCUCCUGAAGAAAUCCCCAGCCUGAGCCGGGGCCACAAUCCCGGCGCCAGGUCCCUAUUUCAAUUUCUUCUCUCCUACUCUUCCCUCCAGGAAAUUUUCCACGCCCGGAAUUCCCUAAAACCCGACUCCCGCACCACGAGGCCGCCCCGGAGGCCCAGAGCGUUGCCUGGUGGGUCCUACUGGCCAAAAAAAAUAACCAGGUUUUGAGGUUUUACCUUUUGGGGGGGUUAUUGAUAAUUUGGGAUGGGCGGGCGGGAGCGCUCGGCUCCACAUCCGAGUGCAUUAUUUCAAUUAGCCCCAGCGCUCUUUAUUGCGAGGGGGAAUCAUUCACUCCCCGGGGAUGAAAAAAAAAAAAAAAAAAGAAAAGAAAAAAAAAAGCUUUUAUAUUGAAUGCUUUCUAAAUACUGGCAUUGGUCACGUCGCCUGGAA